AAUGAACGCUGGCGGCAGGCCUAACACAUGCCAGUCGAGCGGACGCACGGUGAGCGCUCUCCUCUGCCGUUGGCGACGGGCGGGUGAGUAACACGUACAUAACCUACCUAUAAGACUGGGGUAACUUCGGGGGACCUCAUACAAUACCGGAUCAUAGGGUGAACGGGAGGGAUCAGUGGAUCUAGAGGUCUUUGCUGACACUAAGAGAUGUAUCCACGUCGCAUUAGCUAGUUGGUAAGGUAACGGCCUACCAAGGCAACGAUGCGUAGCUGACCUGAGAGGGUGAUCGGCCACACUGGAACUGAGACACGGUCCAGACUCCUACGGGAGGCAGCAGUGGGGAAUAUUGGGCAAUGGGCGAAAGCCUGAUCGAGCCAUGCCGCGUGAGUGAAGAAGGUCUUCGGAUUGUAAAACUCUUUUAUUAGGGAAGAACAACAGUGUGUGAAUCUCUGCCUGUUUUGACGGUACCUAAAGAGAAAGCACCGGCUAACUUCGUG
rnacentral:rRNA from 1 species